rnacentral:lncRNA from 1 species
UGAGUUAGAAUAAACUGUUAAGACUUAAAACUUACUCAUUUUACCUUUCACCAUGGGGCUUGUAACCGUCACUUGUGUCUUGAGCAGUUAAAAGAUAGAACAGUCAAGUCAAGCGCCAUGUCUCGUAUUCUUGAUUAGCUAUAGCUCUGGAUUUUUUGCAGAUUUUCAAAUAAAACUCAGAGAUUCCUUAUAUGACUCUCUCAAAUCUCUCUUUUGUGGUAUUUCUGGAUCCUACCAAGUCAAUAAGUCAAAUCAAGAUGUGCAUGUGUGGCAAAUGAAUGGUGUAUGGUGAUGAUGGUGAUAACAAUGGUGAAAGUCUAAUUCUAUUUUUGCUCUUUUAAGGGGAUACAUAUCUUUCUUGCACUUUGAAGCUUUUUGGGGAGAAUGAGAUGCUCUAUAUUUUCUUUUUUUUCUUUUUCUCUCAGGUGGGUAGCUUUGUACCCCUAAUUCUAUUGUCGGACACUUGUCCAUUUUUACCUCUCGUCUCACUUUUUCUUUUCUUCGAGGUUCCGGACACUUGCUCCUUUUUAUUUCCUCGUAUUUUUUUAGAGCACUCAUCUUCUGAAAGAAUGUAGCAAGUGGUAGUAACCAAAAUAACUGGGGCAUUUAUUUUACAGGGAAUAACAGGGAUAGGAAAAUGUUUUUGGCUAUUCUCUCCCGGAUUAGGAGUAGAAUAAUUUUGGGUGAAUCUGGAGAUGGAAAUGAGUGGAUGUAUGUGGAUGCGUACUUCCGGAGUAGAAGCAGCAUAUACGAGUGAACAUGCAAGUGAAUCUUGAUUUUAACCACAUGACAAGCUCCUAAGGGUCUACACAGCUUGACCACACUCAAUGCUCAUAAGCAGUAAAAAGUAAAUGUUUGGCUCAAAGUCUAAUAAGCAUGUAUAUAUGGCUGUGGUAGGAUUUUUAACUCUCAUCAUACAGGAACUCAUCAUGUGUUAUUUUAAAGAUUUUUAAAGAUAAAAUUCUCUAGAAUUAUAGCAUCUCUAGGAACAGAUAAACAACAGCUCAACAUUCCCAUAUCAUAUCCGUUAACGACUUAGACUUUAGAUCAAGUACUCUUCCCACAAGUUCAGGUUUAGAGCAGGUUUAAAUUAUAACAGUUAUGCCUAAACUUGAGAGAGAUUUUAAUUUUAAGAACUAGUCAUGGCAGAGCAACUAUUCAUCAUUUCCAUGUGAGAGUUUAUCAUGAGGGUUCAUAGCAAACUUUAUUUAUUUAUUUAUUUAGCAAACUAAGCAAAGAUAUAUAUAAAAGCACAAAAUCUUUAUUUGGGUUUUUAUGAUUAUGCAUCUUUUAUUAUUUGAGUAAAGUAUAAACGCGAGUAGAAACACUUAGCUGGAUAAAUGGGGGUGCUCUCCCCCAAGCUGGAUUUUAACGUAAUUUCUUCUGAUGUAGCUAGCAGGUGAUGGAGGUGUAUUUGAAAGUCGGCAGCACCCUGACAGCGAUUAGGAUGUCCUCCGUCUGCUAGUCUUUUUUGAUCCUUGAAUCCUGUGGAGCUCAAAUAGACAACAAAGCUUUGUGGAAGAAGUGUUAGUAUAAAUAUCUAGCCUUUAUCAUGUUGAGCCUCCUCAAUAAAUAUUACAUAUUUAGCACAAUCAUGCACUUAUUAUUUUUAUAUUUUUAUUGUAAGAUGAAAACUUAUUUAUUUUAUUUUUAUGCCACCACAGUGAAUAUACUUAUGAGUUUUAUGCCAUGAGCAUACUCACAUGAGGCUUACUAUUUUUUUAACAUUUUUAUUUUCUUUUCAAGAUAGCAUGAACCUGAUUAACUAAGCAAACUAUUGAAUGGAAAAGGAUAACUACCAAGUUUACCUCUUGGCAAGGCGUUCGGUAUUUUUUAAGUCCUCCGAACGGGACUCUCCGUUUUCUCAGUCGUCCUGGGAUUCGUUGGAUGGCGUAGACUGUGGUUCCGGCGGCGCCUCCUCUUCGUGUAUAACUAUCUUCUCUCUCCACACCUGACUCGGUGCUACGGUCUCCUCAGGACAGUUCUGUUCAAGCUAUAUGUCUUCAGACCUUAUCACUUCUCCUUCGUAGUCUACCCAUCCGUCCUUGAUGAUUUGCCUCCUCUGGUUGCGGUUGCGUUGUCUUCUUCUUGUACUGACCUGCUUAGAGUCUUCAACUAUAUAGUUAGGCUCAGUAAAAUAGCGGCGUACCUUCUCAGAGGGAAAGUACAUGUGGACUUCUCCGGUUCCAAUGUAGAUGAUAACUUUGAUAGUGUUGAGGAACGGUCUUCCAAGGAUGGUAGGUGGAUCAUACUCGUCUUCUCUCAUGUCAAAGAUCUGAAAAUCAUCUGGAGCUGAAUAUAUAUUGGUUGUAGGGGCAUGGUUCCAUGUAGGAGCUGAUAAGUGACUGUGGCCAUUAUAUUGUCGUUAGAUCCGGUGUCGUAGAGUGUCUUCUGAAAAGAGGAUUCAUUGAUUGUGCACUCGAUGCUUGGAACACCAGGAUUGUCCUUCUUUAUCAGGAAAGGCGACUUGAGUCGACGAUCGUGACCUCCUCCGACAAGGAUCUAAUGUUUUAUGUCUUCUGGACAAGACUUCUCACCGUCUUCAUCCUUUAGGUGCAUCAUUUGAUUAGGCGUGGACCUUGACAUCUGCACCUCUUGAUACAGUGUCACCUCUGUUCUUUGUUUGUCCAGCAGUUCGAAGUGCGGUGUUGGCAAUAUCUUGUUCACUGUGUUUGUGCUCGUAGAUCCCGGUUCUUCACUUGGUGGAAUCUGGGAGUUGUAAAACUCCUCCAUGUUUUGCUUGAAGUGUACCUAUUCAUAGAGACAAGGCAGAGAUCAAGUGCAUGGGCCCUGUUGGUGGAAAACACCAACAGAACCAAAAGUGUAUUUGUUCUUCUCUAACCUUAAGCAUAGUGAGCAAGACAAAGUUGAUAGAACAUGAGUGUAGCAUUUAAAACAUUUGUUAGAUCAGAUGGCUCAACCUAAUGGAAAGAUAAUAUAUCUAUAUUUAUGUUUUGUUUAUAUCUUCCAAAGAUUGAAUGUGCAACAUAUUAGCUUAUAUGAUUAGGAGUGUGGGACCAUGAAGGUAGUACUAAGAACAAAGAUUAAAGGACUAAACAUGUUGAAUUAAUUAAGUUGGUUAAUUUGGAGUUACAAAUCAUACAUGUUUGUCUCUUUUAUUCAUGUGUAUGCCAGAACCAAGGAGAACUUAUAAAAGUGAUAGUCAAGUACUUUAAGAUGUUAUUGAAGAGUGAUGGUAUAGUAUCACCUUGUGGAAGCUUUUCUUUCUUGGCGGUUGUGCAUCGUGUUUGUGGCACUCUUUGUCUUGUUCCAUGGAUCAUCUCUCUGUGAUGAAUGAGCUAUGUCUUCCUUGUGCAAAUCGUUAAACUUCAUGUGUCACUUUCUUCAUCUCCAAUGUGAGUUUAUCUCAGGACUUCCCAGGUUGAUAUUGAAAGUUUUCCUGCAAGGGUUAGUCCCACAAAAUAUACCAAUAUCUACUCAAGCAGUUUUUAGUUCAGUAACCAAACUAGACUCCAUGUCUAAUCAGAUUAAGGAAGGCUAUUUAACCUAAGCACCAUGCUUAAUUUAAAUGCCAAUGGAAGUAUGUCGAGUACUUCCAAACCAACACUUACUAGGAUAAACAAAGGUAGCAUGAUGGCAUUUAUAGAGAUCUACUCAAGUGGAGGUGAAGUAGUGUAAUUAGUAUUUAACAAAUUGAGCAUGUCUCAAAGGUAAGGACAACCAACAUAGCAACAUGGAAAAUGAUGUUUUUAUGUAAAGUACUCCCCCAAGCUUGAAUUUUGCAAAAUUCAAGUUUGGAUGAAUUUAAUUCAAUGUUGUAUGAUGGUUGGUUGCAAAAUUCUAGGAUUGUCUCUCAAGUUUGUUUUAUCCAUCCAUUCAAUGGUGAUAGCACAUGGAUUUUUAAUGCCCUCUAGCCAUUGAUGUUGCUCUUCUCGAUCCUCCUUGUGGUCUUGGUGACUCUUAUGAAAGGGUUGUCUAGAUAGAUUCAUAGGAUUAUCGGGAGGUUCAAGAGAAAGAGUGUAGUAGAAAUUAUUAAGCUCAAGGAUGGGUUGGAUAGCCGAAUUAUGGGUUUGAAAUGUUUGGAAUUCGGCUAUUGAAACUUCCUUUCCUCGUCUGGGAGAUGAUUCCUUCUCUAUUUCUAAGAUUUUUCUAUGAAGACUAGUACAAGAAGGAUGUCCACGAAUGAAGACAUACCUUCCUUUACUAAUAGAUAAAGAAAGAAAGACUCUACCAAAGGUUAUUUAAUUAAGACCAAUGUGAAAAUAUCGAGAAGAAACAUGGUCUUGUAGGGCUAGGUUUAAACCAGAAUUUAUAGAAAGAUUAACAGAUUCCCUAGGUGUAGCUAAAAGUGCAUUAUCUUCUUGAUUAAAAGAUAGGACCUCGGCUAUAGAAAAGGGUUGGUUUUGACCUAUUGCAAUCAACUCCGGACACAGAUCAUAAUUAGGGGCAGGACUUGUUGACUCCCAUGGUCUAUGGCUGGUCUCCGAAGGUGCAAAGAAUUUAAUAAUAGGUAUGGAAUUCAAGUUAUCCAUAAAGAUAAAAAGAUAAAAGAAUAAAAGUAUAAAAGUAUAAUACAAGAUAAUAGCAAGACUCAAAGUUAUCUCAGCAAACCGUCUUUCUCCCCGGCAACGGCGCCAGAAGUGCUUGUUGAUAUUUGGUAACGCAAUAAGGAAAUGAUCCGCAAGCGCACGGAUAUCGGUGGCCAUUUCACCCGGGAGGUUAUCCAGAGUUAUCGUAUUUAUAUUUUUACCACUGGGAGAAAGGGUGCAUUUGACUAACCAAAUCUAUUGCUACUAUCCCUUUAGGCUACAAAGAAUGUUUCUCGAUGUGAGUGAUGUAUAGAGAAGACUGCAACCGUAGUCUCGUUCUAACCUUGGUAAGGAUGAUCUACUGUUCUAUUGGGGAAGCUUACGGAAUCUAGACACCACAAAGGAUGUUCGACCCGCACCUAUAAACCUACCCGUCCUGCUAACAAGAUAUGGGAUACAAAGGUAACUCGGAAAUGUCACGUUCCUCGCUACUACCACGGUCCAGCUAGUCAGGGGAUAUCUAUGAGUACCCUAGCCUAAACACCACGCUUACGCUAGCAAUGAUUACUCUAAUACUCAACCGGAAGAGGAUUAAAGUAAACUCAUAAACCAAAGAACAAUAAAACAAGAACUUACUAGAAUUAGAAGUCGAAUUACUGAAGAAUCUUAGAAGCAAGCCUCGGGUUAGGAGACUUGAUCCCGUAGGUACAACUCGGAGUAGACACCGACAAGCCGGCCUUCCUCCGAUCUACACCUCCACUCUAUCUCUCUCAAUCUAGUAGAAACUAGAAGAUCUAUUUCUACUUACAUUGGUUGCUAAGCCUAAAAAGAAAUUCUAUUUAGAGAAGAGGUUUUCCUUCGAGGGCACCCCUCAACUCUAUGAUAACUUCUUGUCUUUGUUGAUAUUUGGUAACGCAAUAAGGAAAUGAUCCGCAAGCGCUUGGAUAUCGGUGAGCAUUUCACCCGGGAGGUUAUCCAGAGUUAUCGUAUUUAUAUUUUUACCACUGGGAGAAAGGGUGCAUCUGACUAACCAAAUCUAUUGCUACUAUCCCUUUAGGCUACAAAGAAUGUUUCUCGAUGUGAGUGAUGUAUAGAGAAGACUGCAACCGUAGUCUCGUUCUAACCUUGGUAAGGAUGAUCUACUGUUCUAUUGGGGAAGCUUACGGAAUCUAGACACCACAAAGGAUGUUCGACCCGCACCUAUAAACCUACCCGUCCUGCUAACAAGAUAUGGGAUACAAAGGUAACUCGGAAAUGUCACGUUCCUCGCUACUACCACGGUCCAGCUAGUCAGGGGAUAUCUAUGAGUACCCUAGCCUAAACACCACGUUUACGCUAGCAAUGAUUACUCUAAUACUCAACCGGAAGAGGAUUAAAGUAAACUCAUAAACCAAAGAACAAUAAAACAAGAACUUACUGGAAUUAGAAGUCAAAUUACUGAAGAAUCUUAGGAGCAAGCCUCAGGUUAGGAGACUUGAUCCCGCAGGUACAACUCGGAGUAGACACCGACAGGCCGGUCUUCCUCCGAUCUACACCUCCACUCUAUCUCUCUCAAUCUAGUAGAAACUAGAAGAUCUAUUUCUACUUACAUUGGUUGCUAAGCCUAAAAAGAAAUAUUAUUUAGAGAAAAGGUUUUCCUUCGAGGACACCCCUCAACUCUAUGAUAACUUCUUGUGUUCUCCAGGGGCCAGGGGGUCUCCUUAUAUAGUCCUCCUCCUCUAUGCGUUUUUGGGUCGGUAGGCGAUGUGGUACUAUGUUAUCCUUGAUCCUUUAGGUCGGUGGAACAUCGUGUGCGAAGAGAGUCCCAAACGGAGUCCAGGACAAGGCGGGCGCCCUGGGCUUGGUCCCUUUCGGCCUCUGCUUUCUUCCCGUGGCUUCUGGAGUCUUCUAGAUGGUAGAAAAUUGCGCGGUGCGUUGAUAUCUCUAUGUAAUCCCGACAUGUGGGCCUUUCUUCCUUAUUUCCUGAUAACCCCCUGUAGAAAUAGACAAACACCAAAACUCGUGGAAUUCUGUCAGAUAAAACCCUAAGUCUGGGUGUUGGUUGCAUUUGGAUCCUUUUCUUUAUUUAUUUGAUGAUUAUAUUUGGUACUUAAGGACCAUCAACAACUCCCCCAAGCUUACCUCUUGCUCGUCCCUGAGCAAGGAUGAACUCAAGAGUCUCUGCAGUGGUUUCGUGCCUUAAAAGUACACACACAUUCAAGCAAGAUCUCACCUCUGAGUUAGAGUAAACUGUUAAGACUUAAAACUUACUCAUUUUACCUUUCACCAUGGGGCUUGUAACCGUCACUUGUGUCUUGAGCAGUUAAAAGAUAGAACGGUCAAGUCAAGCGCCAUGUCUCUUAUUCUUGAUCAGCUAUAGCUCUGGAGUUUUUGCAGAUUUUCAAAUAAAACUCAGAGAUUCCUUAUAUGACUCUCCCAAAUCUCUCUUUUGUGGUAUUUCUGGAUCCUUACCAGGGCAGUAAUGAUAUGUGCCUUCUCUCAAAGUAUGUAGUAUUUGUGGUAUGAGGCAUAGUGAUAUUGCCUUCUCUCUCACCCUACUCUAAUAAGGUUUUGAUAUCUGGAUCUCAUAGGUGGGAGACAGACAAUACAUACUUACAAGACAUUUCUUGCAUAGUCAAACCAUGGAUCCAGAGAAACAAGUCAAUAAGUCAAAUCAAGAUGUGCAUGUGUGGCGAAUGAAUGGUGUAUGGUGAUGAUGGUAAUAACAAUGGUGAAAGACUAAUUCUACUUUUGCUCGUUUGAGGGGAUACAUACCUUUCUUGCACUUUAAAGCUUUUUGAGGAGAAUGAGAUGCUCUACAUUUUCUUUUUCUUUCCUCUCAGGUGGGUAUCUUGUACCCCUAAUUCUACUGUCAGACACUUGUCCAUUUUUACCUCUCGUCUCACUUUUUCUUUUCUUCGAGGUUUCGGGCACUUGCUCCUUUUUAUUUCCUCGUAUAUAUUUUUUUUUCUUUUUUCUCUUUCUUUUUUUUAGAGCACUCGUCUCCUGAAAUAAUAUAGCAAGUGGUAGUAACCAAGAUAACUCGAGCAUUUAUUUCACAGGGAAAAAUAGAAAUAGGAGAAUGUUUUUGGCUAUUCUCUCCCGGAUCAGGAGUAGAAUAAUUUUAUGUGAAUCUGGAGAUCGAAAUAAGUAGAUAUAUGUGGAUGCGUACUUCCGGAGUAGAAGCAGCAUGUGUGAGUGAACGUGCAAGUGAAUCUUGAUUUUAACCACAUGACAAGCUCCUAAGGGUCUACACAGCUUGACCACACUCAAUGCUCAUACGCAGUAAAAAGUAAAUGUGUGGCUCAAAGUCUAGCAAGCAUGUAUAUAUGGCUGUGGUAGGAAUUUAAACUCUCAUCAUAUUGGAACUCAUCAUGUGUUAUUUUAAAAAUUUUUCAAAGAUAAAAUUCUUCAGAAUUCUAGCAUCUCUAUGAACAGAUAAACAGCAGCUCAACCUUCCCAUAUCAUAUCCGUUAACAACUUAGACUUUAGAUCAAGUACUCUUCCCACAAGUUCAGGUUUAGAGAAAAUCUUAAUUCAUAACAGCCAUGCCUAAACUUGAGAGAGAUUUUAAUUUUUUAGAACUAGUCAUGGCAGAGCAACUAUUCAUCAUUUCCAUGUGAGAGUUUAUCAUG